rnacentral:rRNA from 1 species
AGUGAACGCUGGCGGUAGGCCUAACACAUGCAAGUCGAACGGCAGCACAGUAAGAGCUUGCUCUUACGGGUGGCGAGUGGCGGACGGGUGAGGAAUACAUCGGAAUCUACUUUUUUGUGGGGGAUAAGGUAGGGAAACUUACGCUAAUACCGCAUACGACCUACGGGUGAAAGCAGGGGAUCUUCGGACCUUGCGCGAUUGAAUGAGCCGAUGUCGGAUUAGAUAGUUGGCGGGGUAAAGGCCCACCAAGGCGACGAUCCGUAGCUGGUCUGAGAGGAUGAUCAGCCACACUGGAACUGAGACACGGUCCAGACUCCUACGGGAGGCAGCAGUGGGGAAUAUGGGACAAUGGGCGGAAGCCUGAUCCAGCCAUACCGCGUGGGUGAAGAAGGCCUUCGGGUUGUAAAGCCCUUUUGUUGGGAAAGAAAAGCAGCAGGUUAAUACCCCGCUGUUCUGACGGUACCCAAAGAAUAAGCACCGGCUAACUUCGUG